UGGUGGAGUGAUUUGUCUGGUUAAUUCCGUUAACGAACGAGACCUCAGCCUGCUGAUUAGAUAACCAUGACUUCUUGUCAUGCUGUUAGCUUCUUAGAGGGACUUUGUGUAGCCAGCGCAAGGAAGUUGGAGGCAAUAACA
rnacentral:rRNA from 1 species